rnacentral:rRNA from 1 species
UACGUAGGGUGCGAGCGUUAAUCGGAAUUACUGGGCGUAAAGCGUGCGCAGGCGGUUCUCCAAGUCCGUUGUGAAAGCCCCGGGCUCAACCUGGGAAUGGCAGUGGAAACUAGGGGACUGGAAUCUGGCAGAGGGGGGUGGAAUGCCGCGUGUAGCAGUGAAAUGCGUAGAUAUCGUGAGGAAGACCAGUGGCGAAGGCGGGUCUCGUGGACAGUUCCUGACACUGAGCACGAAGGCCAGGGGGAGCGAAACGGG